ensembl:lncRNA novel transcript, antisense to ABLIM3
ACACAAAGCUGUCUAAUUCAGUAUUUAAAACAGAGCAGGGACUCAAAAAGCAACAUCAGAGUUGGAGUAGCUUGUGGAAGAAGCAAGUGAAGUUCUGUAAAGCAGUCUUAUUAAUGAGAGUGAACUCCACCAGGACAGCAAGCAUGCUUGCCUCACUCAUCUCUGAAUGCCCAACAUGUAGCAGAGAGCCUGGCACAUAGCGUGGCCCCCAGUUUGAGUGGAUCAAUGAAAGACGAUGAUGUUAUCCUCAUUUUACAGGUGAAGCAAGAGAUCCAGAGAAGGAAGCCACUUCUCAAGGUCACAGCCUAUUAGUGGAAUUGCUGACGCUUGAACCCGGGAGUCCUGGCUCUCAGCCACUUCUUUACACUCCUGAGCUACCCAGGAGCAGGGUUUUCUUGCCAAUUCUGGGGGAUAUCAUAUUGAAUCCUGGUGUCCCCACUUGGUGAGGGUGUCCAAGGCCCAGAUCUCAGUGGUAGCAGAACCCCCACAAGACACUCACAGCCCAAGUGAGCGUGACUCUAGCACUGCUUGGCCUGGUCCCCCUCAUUCCAGGAUCACUUAGCAUCCUUUCAGGCAGGUCCUUGAAUGCCCUGCAAUUACUCCCACUCUCCCAGGAGCCAGGAGAGGGAUGGGGAUAAUUAAUGAGAAGGUGACAGGCUCAUCUUCAUUACUAAGAAUAUCUCCCACCCUUGGAGGCAUUUCCACUGUAGGUUUAAUGGUGCAUUCUCUCUCAGGAUCACAAAGCUAUGCACUUUACUUCCUUGCUUAACUCUUUUAGCACCUGUGGGAAGUUGGAAGAAUGAAAGCACUAACCUGUGAGGCUGUGAGCUCCAUGAGGGCAGGGCCUUUGACUGAUUUGCUCACUGCCACACCUUCAGUUGUGAGAACAGCAGCGGGGACACAGUAGAUCCUCAAUAGAUAUUUGCUAAAUGAAUGAUUGAAAUGGGAGCUUCCCAUGUGUCACGAAAUUACUACACCUAUAUCUUAUAGCAACUGUUCUCGGUCUAUUUUACAUAUUAGACAGCCAAGUUUCAGAGAGUUACGAGACUUGCCCAAGGUCAAAAACUUAGUAAUCAGUGGAGCCAGGAUCCCCCCUGAGGCACUCUGGGUGAAAGCACCCAACAGGGAAAGAUUAAGAUUAGGAAUUCAGGCAGGGAGGCAAAGACGUGGUUUAUUCUAGUGAUAUCCAGGUAGGGAUGAGAAUGGGAGGGCAGUUUCAAUACUAGGAGGUUUGUUCACCAGGGAAGGAGGAGAGGAAUAUUGUGCAACAAAUUUUCAAGCCAAGUGCAAACUCCAGGUUCCCAUGGUGGUCAGGAUGAAGGCAGGGUGCAGGUUGCUGAGCCUCAUAACACUGGUUCCUGCAGCAGGAAUCACUCAAGAACCCAGGCAAUGAGGGAUUGGUGUGCACAGGAAGGGACAGGGACCUGAAUAUCAGGCAGGGCCUGGGUCCCAGGGGUAAAGUGGAAAGAACCCUGGAGGGGAGACGCAAGGCCAGGCCCUGCUCUGCCCUGACGCACUCCCAUUCUCACACAAGUCUCUUCUUUUCUCUGGGUCUAUUUUCCCCAUCUCUACAAUGAGGGUUGGCACUUUACAGUUUAGAGUGACUCUGGGAUCCUUACCACUCCAGCAUCAGUUCAUAUAAGUAAGUAGACAGCAUCUUAGAAAUGGUCACUUUGUUUAAUCCAACAUAGGAAUUCCUGCUCCAGGAUUCUUAGCAGAUGGCACAAGUUUCUGUUGGGUAGCUCUGGGCCAGUGGUUCUCCACUGAGGAUGAUUUUGACCCCCUAGGGACAUGUGGCAAUAUCUGAGACAUUUUUGAUUGUCAGUGGGAAGAAGCACGUGGUUGGCAUCUAAUGGGUAGAGACCAAGGAUGGUACCAAAUACCCUACAAUGCACAGGACAGCCCACAGUGUCACCAGUGCUGAGGCUAAGGAACUCAGCUGUAGGCACAGGGGGACUCAUUGCAUCUUGAGGGAACUCAUGGCUGUGGGCAUUGUGGCUAGGACAAGCUGAUACUGACACACUCCCUGUAACUGCUGCCCUGGCCUUAGAUCUACCUGGAGGAAGGGCCCUAAUUCCUUCUCAAGAUGGCUAUCCAAUCACAGCGAUUCCACCAAUGACAUUCACCUGUGGAGGGAGUAUGCAUGGGCCAGGGUCAGGGCUGAGGGACAAGUGCCAGGAGCACAGGACCUUAGGGAGGAGGCCAACAACUCUCAUACAAGCUGGAGGGGACCAGGGGCAGACAGAGGGCUGUGGGGAUGGGGGAAGAGAGGACUGUGUUAAAUUGUGGGUGGGGUUGGGGAAAUCCUGGGUGCCUAUGAAGCAUGUAGUGACUGAACUGGGCCUCAAAUGAUAGGAUUUCCAAAGAAGGGCACAGGAAGACAAGGGAAAGGGCCAUGAGUUCAUUUUAAGUCCAAACAAAGUCUCUCCACAAGGCCCAGCCCAUACACCCUGCUUGCCUCCUGGCUGCAUCUCACUUCUGUCUGCGCCCUGGCCACACAGGCUCCACUUGCCCUUAUGCACUCGCCAUUUCUUCACCCACCUCAGAGUCUUGCAGGCUCUGUCCUCUCAUUUUGGUGCAUCCUAUUCCACUUUUUGUUCAGUUGCUAUGGUCUGGAUGUUUUUGUGUCCCCCACAUCCAUAUGCCAAAAUUCGAACCCCCAAGGUGAUGGUCUUAGGAGGUAGGGCUAUUUGGGAGGUGAUUAGGUCAUGGACCAGUGUCCUUAUAAAAGAGGCGCCAGAGAGCUGCCUUGCCCCUUCCACCAUGUGGAGACACAGAGAGAAGGUGCCAUCUCUGAGAAAGUGGGUCCACAUCAGAUACCAAAUCUAUUGGACCCUUGGUCAUGGACUUCCCAGCUUCCAGAACUGUGAGAAAUAGAUUUCUGCUUAUAAGCUGCCCUGUCUGUAUCUCAGUCUGCUGAGGUUAUAACAGCCCAGAUGAACUACAACAUCAGUUAACACCCACUCAUGGUCUGGAUCUCAGCUCCUGGCCCUUCGUCAGGGAGCCCUCCUGGGGCUCCUCCUACCCCGUUAUGUGCUCUCAAAGGCCCACACUUCUCUCCUUCAUAACACUUACCACAGCUGAUGUUUAUUUAUGUGAUUAUGGAUUAAUGCCCAUCUCCUUCAGGGGACUGUAGGGCUGGGUGAGCCUCACCAUGGACGCUGGCACAGAGCCUACACAUGGCAGGGCUCAAGAAACAAUCAUUGAGUGGAUGAAUAAAUGAUCAAAAGUUAGCUUUGGUAGCUUAGGUGUCGGGUAUGUUCAAGGCUACAAAGGAAGCCUGGGACCUUGGCAAGAUUUUAAAUGCUAGGCUGAAGUGUUUGUAGCUAAAUAGGCAGACAGGGAGGGGCUCUGAAGAGCAGGGCAGUGCCAAGAGCACGUGAUGCCCUGGGAUGGUGGGCUGGGCAGAGGGUAGAGGACUGAGCAGAAUCUGGAGACUAAUUAGGGGACUGUUGUAAGAAUCCUGGGGUAAGAGGGCUGGGAAGCAGCAGAUGGAAAGCAGCCCUGGUUAGCUUUGUGGGGACGACUGGCACUCCUCAUUCCUCUGUGUGUUCUGAGAGUCCCUGGGAAGCCCUGAGCAGCAGCCUGGCAUGAUGCUCUGAGAUGUGGGGAGAAGGAGGUAGAGUAGAGGCUGUGAUGCUAUAGACACUUUGCAACCCAGGCAUCCCUCUGAGGUUCUCUGACCCCUUGGGCCUGUGCAGCUCAGCUUCCCACCCCCAAGGCAGAGCCAGGAGAGUCUGCUCAGAGCACUGCCAGGGAAGCAGUCCAGCUGGGCAGCGGGUGGAGGUGCACAGAGACGGAAGGCAGAUUACAUGUCACUUCAUAUUAGCCACACCGGCAACCUUCCCAAUCCACCCAGAGAGGGGCCAAUUAAUUGCAAUUCUGAGGACAAGGCAAAAGCCAAGAUAACACUGAACCUGAAGCCAAGAUAACACUGAACCUGAAGAUCGCAUCUCCUUUCCAGUCAUGAGCAGGUCGGAAGGCCUUACAGAGGGUCAGAUUUACUUACCUGUGAGGUACAUUUCCUCUCCUUCGGUGAACAUCUGGUGGCAGCGUACACACCUGGCACAGGUUGGGUGGUAGUGCUUCCCUCCUGCCUAUGGAAAUGAAAAGAUGAAACAGGAGGUCAGAGCCAGGGCUGCUGUCUAGUGGGGCAGAUUGGGUUUGAAUCUUUCCUGGGUACAUUAGUGUUGUUUGCAUCUUCAUGGCCCUAAAGUUGGUUGGAGCUACCCAAGGGAGUCCACAACCAUCUAAAAGACCAGCCGGGAAGCUUCGUGAUUCACUCCAUGGAUCCCUGAUGGCAGUUCAGGGGACUUCCCUGAAUACCUGCUCUUCUAUUCUGACACUGGGAAGGACACUUGAGAGGCCACUGGUCCAACUUCCUCAUUUCCAGAGGAGGAAACAGGCUUGCUUUGAGGACAUCCCAGCAUUUCCCCAAGUGAGAGGCCCUUACCACUAAUGUUACAUGAAAUGAUUUUAAGUGGUACAUGAACUUGGGAUUUAAUAACAUUGGACCAAUGGAAAAAAAAAAAA